ensembl:lncRNA
GUAAAUUAAUAAUAAUGCUAACGCUACAAGUCAGCUCAGAUGGCUCCGGUGACCAUGAUGACACAACCUACCAUGUUGUACACGCAGCCUGUGAUGAUGCCGCCUAACCCUUUUGGCUCAAUCACAGGAGUGCAGAUGCAGUUCAUGUGAAGCGAGCGUUGGCUCCCUGAGGACGAAUCACACGGUCUCCAAUCUCAAACCUUUAAUCUGUCCCCAGUUCGCUGUUUGACUCCGCGCUCAAAGCGUGGCCCCAACACAGGAAACUGACCCGGACAGGGAACAUUUAUCAGACUGGUAUCACUACAUUUGUGAUUCUGCAGCAUUGCUUAAGGGAGGAGCUGUUUUGCUUUAUGCUUGGCAUGUCAUUAUUUUACGUUGACAGUUAUACAGCUGCCUUUCCAACUUGAAUGUGCAAAGUAGCCUUCAUGCUUGGGCCAUCUUUCUUCCACUGGCACUAGGGGGCGGCCUUCGCUGAAGUAGGAGCACAGGGAAAUGGGUGUGUAUGUCACAGGUUGCCAUCAUCAGGGUGGGACUGGUAGUGUCCUUGUAAAUUAACAGUAGGAGCAGUAGAACAUGGGAAAGGGAAGCACUGUUGAUCGGUGCUUUGUGUAAAUAAACCCAGACCCUAUCGAAUAGGGGAGCAUGGAAGAUGG